GUCGAGAAUUUUUCACAAUGGGCGAAAGCCUGAUGGAGCGACGCCGCGUGGGGGAUGAAUGGCUUCGGCCCGUAAACCCCUGUCAUUCGCGAGCAAACGUUAUUAUUUAAAAGAUGAUAGCCUGAUAGUAGCGAAAGAGGAAGGGACGGCUAACUCGGUGCCAGCAGCCGCGGUAAUACAGAGGUCCCAAGCGUUGUUCGGAUUUACUGGGCGUAAAGGGUGCGUAGGUGGUGGGGUAAGUCGGAUGUGAAAUCGCCGAGCUCAACUCGGAAAGUGCAUUGGAAACUACCCUGCCCGAGGGUUGGAGGGGGGACUGGAAUACUUGGUGUAGCAGUGAAAUGCGUAGAUAUCAAGUGGAACACCAGUGGCGAAGGCGAGUCCCUGGACAACUCCUGACACUGAGGCACGAAAGCUAGGGGAGCAAACAG
rnacentral:rRNA from 1 species